UNUGACUUGAGUGCAGAAGGGGAGAGUGGAAUUCCAUGUGUAGCGGUGAAAUGCGUAGAUAUAUGGAGGAACACCAGUGGCGAAAGCGGCUCUCUGGUCUGUCACUGACGCUGAGGCUCGAAAGCGUGGGUAGCGAACAGGAUUAGAUACCCUGGUAGUNCACGCCGUAAACGAUGAGUGCUAGGUGUUAGGCCCUUUCCGGGGCUUAGUGCCGGAGCUAACGCAAUAAGCACUCCGCCUGGGGAGUACGACCGCAAGGUUGAAACUCAAAGGAAUUGACGGGGGCCCGCACAAGCGGUGGAGCAUGUGGUUUAAUUCGAAGCAACGCGAAGAACCUUACCAGGUCUUGACAUCCCGAUGCUAUUCUUAGAGAUAGGAAGUUACUUCGGUACAUCGGAGACAGGUGGUGCAUGGUUGUCGUCAGCUCGUGUCGUGAGAUGUUGGGUUAAGUCCCGCAACGAGCGCAACCCUUAUUGUUAGUUGCCAUCAUUAAGUUGGGCACUCUAGCGAGACUGCCGGUAAUAAACCGGAGGAAGGUGGGGAUGACGUCAAAUCAUCAUGCCCCUUAUGACCUGGGCUACACACGUGCUACAAUGGUCGGUACAACGAGUUGCGAGCCGGUGACGGCAAUCUAAUCUCUGAAAGCCGAUCUCAGUUCGGAUUGGAGGCUGCAACUCGCCUCCAUGAAGUCGGAAUCGCUAGUAAUCGCGGAUCAGCACGCCGCGGUGAAUACGUUCCCGGGCCUUGUACACACCGCCCGUCACACCACGAGAGUUUGUAACACCCGAAGUCG
rnacentral:rRNA from 1 species